UGGAUCAUUUGUAACGACUGAGGCAAGGCCAUUCCAUUACUGGGCUUUUCUUUACAAAUUGAGUAGAAGACCAGGCCACCCUCCAAAGGUUGCAAAAACACGUGCUUACUUGCUCAGGAUUUCGUUUUCGUUUUGAGAUUCGGAGUGAAAAUCAUCGCCUUCAAAUAUUCAUGCCAUAUUUACUGGCUCUAGAUGGAACCAGUUCCAUGAAUUGCUCAACCUGGAAAGCCUUUUCGAACUUCAUUUUAUAAUGGCCGAGCCGUUGGAGGGGAAAAUUUCAAUCUAUAGGCGACGAGGAAAAGUGAGAGAAACCUCGCUGGAGAUUAGCCUCUUUUUUGCCGAAGCCUCUCUGUACGUUGCAUUUUAUUCAAUUUAUUGCAAAUACCCAUCAACGUAAAUGUGGGGAUUUGAAUUUAGCCUUCAAUAUCCAAAAAAGAUAUGUGCUUACAUGGAGUUGUUUGCUUUUGUCUUGACCUCGAUAUGAGGCGGCGAAAAUUUUAUUAAAGUGGAGAUGGGCGCAUUCAA